CUCAGAGAACACCACAAAAGACACAAUCCAAAAAGAAAAAGGUCAUUGUUGAGGAUUCAUCUCCUGAGCAAGCUCAAUCCUAUCAUGGAUCUGAAAUUGGAACUGAAGAAUUAAAUGA